rnacentral:misc_RNA from 1 species
CAACCCUCAAGCUCUGCUUGGUCUUGGGCCUGGCCGCGAUGGCCGGCCUUAAAAUCAGUGGCGGUGCCGUCGCAGGCUCCAAGCGUAGUACAUCUCUCGCUCUGGAAGCCCGGCGGUGCCUGCCAGGCAACCCCUAAUUGUCUCUUACGG